CCUACGGGUGGCAGCAGUAGGGAAUAUUGCUCAAUGGGGGAAAGCCUGAAGCAGCAACGCAGCGUGGAGGAUGAAGGUUUUCGGAUUGUAAACUCCUUUUGAUAGAGAAGAAAAUGACGGUAUCUAACGAAUAAGCACCGGCUAACUCCGUGCCAGCAGCCGCGGUAAUACGGAGGGUGCAAGCGUUACUCGGAAUCACUGGGCGUAAAGAGCGCGUAGGCGGGUUAGCAAGUCAGAUGUGAAAUCCUAUGGCUUAACCAUAGAACUGCAUUUGAAACUGUUAUUCUAGAGUAUGGGAGAGGUAGGUGGAAUUCGUGGUGUAGGGGUGAAAUCCGUAGAGAUCAAGAGGAAUACUCAUUGCGAAGGCGACCUGCUAGAACAUAACUGACGCUGAUGCGCGAAAGCGUGGGGAGCAAACAGGAUUAGAUACCCCAGUAGUC
rnacentral:rRNA from 1 species